AUGGAGUCGGCCGCCGGCGGCGGGCUGGGCAGCAUGCGCGCCGUGCUCGCCAUCCUCCAGUGGUGGGGCUUCAACGUCACCGUCAUCAUCAUCAACAAGUGGAUCUUCCAGAAGCUGGAUUUCAAGUUCCCCCUCACAGUGUCCUGCGUCCACUUCAUAUGCUCCUCGAUCGGGGCUUACAUCGCGAUCCACGUGCUCAAGGCAAAGCCGCUGAUUCAGGUCGAGCCUGAGGACCGCUGGAAGAGGAUCUUCCCCAUGUCCUUUGUGUUCUGCAUGAACAUCGUGCUCGGGAACGUCAGCCUGCGCUACAUCCCAGUCUCCUUCAUGCAGACUAUUAAAUCCUUCACCCCUGCAACCACAGUUAUUCUGCAGUGGUUGGUUUGGAGCAAGCACUUUGAGUGGCGCAUAUGGGCUUCGCUGGUCCCGAUAGUCGGGGGGAUCCUCUUGACCUCGAUGACAGAGCUCAGCUUCAACAUUUUUGGCUUCUGUGCUGCCAUGAUAGGCUGCCUCGCCACGUCUACAAAGACCAUCUUGGCAGAGUCCCUGCUCCACGGAUACAAAUUUGACAGCAUUAACACAGUGUACUACAUGGCACCCUUUGCCACCAUGAUACUGGCUCUGCCAGCAAUGUUGCUUGAAGGAGGCGGCGUAAUCGACUGGUUCUACACACACGACUCUGUCUUCUCUUCGCUGAUUAUCAUCCUAGGCUCAGGGGUUCUUGCGUUUUGCCUCAACUUCUCCAUCUUCUACGUGAUCCAUUCGACCACGGCAGUGACCUUCAAUGUUGCUGGCAACCUUAAAGUUGCCGUUGCAGUCUUGGUCUCAUGGCUGAUCUUCCGGAAUCCGAUCUCCCCAAUGAAUGCAAUUGGAUGCGCAAUCACGCUCGUCGGCUGUACUUUCUAUGGGUAUGUGAGGCAUCUCAUCUCCCAACAGCAGGCUGCUGCCCUCCUAGGGAGCCAAGGAACGAACUCGCCGAGAAGUCGGGUGGAGAUGCUCCCCCUUGUAGGCGACAAGGAAGAUAAGGUCUAG
rnacentral:rRNA from 1 species